CGCGAUCGUGGGCAUUGUACUUGGUUUCAUUGGCGUGGGCCUGAUCGGCGGAAUCAGCGGAUGGUUGAUCGCGAGGAAAACGGGAGGGAUCAAAGAUCCACCGCAAUCCAAACUCGAUACCAGCAUCAAUUCCGGAAGAACAAGCCCCUUGGACACAGAGACCGUGAACACAUCGCAAAACUACGAAAACUUCCCAAGGAAUGAACAGGGCUCAAAGAACAAUACACAAGAUGGAAACUCCACUUACACGG